UUAGUGGCGGACGGGUGAGUAACACGUGGGUAAUCUGCCUUUGAGAUUGGGACAACAGUUAGAAAUGACUGCUAAUACCGAAUAAGAUAGAUGAAUGAAUUUUAUGUAUUGAAAGGUGCCUUUAAAGCAUCACUCAAAGAUGAGCCUGCGGCGUAUUAGUUAGUUGGUGGGGUAAAGGCCUACCAAGACGACGAUGCGUAGCCGAACUGAGAGGUUGAUCGGCCACAUUGGGACUGAGACACGGCCCAAACUCCUACGGGAGACAGCAGUUAGGAAUAUUCGUCAAUGGGGGAAACCCUGAACGAGCAAUGCCGCGUGAGUGAAGAAGGUCCUAUGGAUUGUAAAACUCUGUUGUAUGAGAAGAACACUAAGUAUAGGAAAUGAUGCUUAGCUGACGGUAUCAUGCGAGAAAGCCCCGGCUAACUACGUGCCAGCAGCCGCGGUAAUACGUAGGGGGCGAGCGUUAUCCGGAUUUAUUGGGCGUAAAGCGUGUGUAGGCGGUUUAUUAAGUAUAAGAUUAAAGCCUGGAGCUUAACUCCAGUUCGUCUUAUAAACUGGUAGACUUGAGUAUGGUAGAGGCAAAUGGAACUUCUAGUGUAGCGGUAAAAUGCGUAGAUAUUAGAAAGAACACCAGUGGCGAAGGCGAUUUGCUGGGCCAUUACUGACGCUGAGACACGAAAGCGUGGGGAGCAAAUAGGAUUAGAUACCCUAGUAGUCCACGCUGUAAACGAUGAGUACUAAGUGUUGGGGAUUCCCAGUGCUGAAGUUAACACAUUAAGUACUCCGCCUGAGUAGUACGGUCGCAAGGUUGAAACUCAAAGGAAUUGACGGGAGCCCGCACAAGCAGUGGAGUAUGUGGUUUAAUUCGAUGCAACGCGAAGAACCUUACCAGGACUUGACAUCCCGAGAACCCGGCGUAAUGGCGGGGGUGCCCCUUCGGGGGAAUUCGGAGACAGGUGGUGCAUGGUUGUCGUCAGCUCGUGUCGUGAGAUGUUGGGUUAAGUCCCGCAACGAGCGCAACCCUUACGGUCAGUUGCUACGCAAGAGCACUCUGGCCGGACUGCCGUUGACAAAACGGAGGAAGGCGGGGACGACGUCAAAUCAUCAUGCCCCUUACGUUCUGGGCUACACACGUACUACAAUGGCAUCUAACAAAGGGCAGCGAAGGCGCGAGCCGGAGCCAAUCUCCAAAAGAUGUCUCAGUUCAGACUGCAGGCUGCAACUCGCCUGCACGAAGUCGGAAUUGCUAGUAAUCGCAGAUCAGCAUGCUGCGGUGAAUACGUUCCCGGGCUUUGCACACACCGCCCGUCA
rnacentral:rRNA from 1 species